GAUGAACGCUGGCGGCGUGCCUAAUACAUGCAAGUCGAGCGAACAGACGAGGAGCUUGCUCCUCUGACGUUAGCGGCGGACGGGUGAGUAACACGUGGAUAACCUACCUAUAAGACUGGGAUAACUUCGGGAAACCGGAGCUAAUACCGGAUAAUAUAUUGAACCGCAUGGUUCAAUAGUGAAAGACGGCUUUGCUGUCACUUAUAGAUGGAUCCGCGCCGCAUUAGUUAGUUGGUAAGGUAACGGCUUACCAAGGCGACGAUGCGUAGCCGACCUGAGAGGGUGAUCGGCCACACUGGAACUGAGACACGGUCCAGACUCCUACGGGAGGCAGCAGUAGGGAAUCUUCCGCAAUGGGCGAAAGCCUGACGGAGCAACGCCGCGUGAGUGAUGAAGGUCUUCGGAUCGUAAAACUCUGUUAUUAGGGAAGAACAAAUGUGUAAGUAACUAUGCACGUCUUGACGGUACCUAAUCAGAAAGCCACGGCUAACUACGUG
rnacentral:rRNA from 1 species